UACGUAGGGUCCAAGCGUUAUCCGGAAUCACUGGGCGUAAAGCGUGCGUAGGUGGGUAGUUAAGUGCGAUGCGAAAUCCUGUGGCUCAACCAUACGGACUGUACCGCAUACUGAUUACCUAGAGGAUAUGAGAGGCAAGUGGAAUUACCGGUGUAGCAGUGAAAUGCGUAGAUAUCGGUAGGAACACCAAUGGCGAAAGGCAGCUUGCUGGCAUAUUUCUGACGCUAAGGGCACGAAAAGCGUGGGGGAGCGAAACAGGG
rnacentral:rRNA from 1 species